rnacentral:rRNA from 1 species
CCAGCUCCAAUAGCGUAUAUUAAAGUUGUUGCAGUUAAAAAGCUCGUAGUUGGAUGUCUGGCCUGGGACGGUUGGCCCGGUGGGCUUGCCUCACUGUGUUGUCGACCGCUUCCCUACCAUCUUUUCGGAACGUCCGGCCUGCCCUUUACUGGGUGAGUCGGCGCUUCCGAUCGUUUACUUUGAAAAAAUUAGAGUGUUCAAAGCAGGCUUAUUGCUGUGAAUACAUUAGCAUGGAAUAAUAAUAUAGGACUUUGGUCUUAUUUUGUUGGUUUCUAGGACUGAAGUAAUGAUUGAUAGGGAUAGUUGGGGGUGCUCGUAUUCAGCGGCCAGAGGUGAAAUUCUAUGAUUCGCUGAAGACGAACUUAUGCGAAAGCAUUCACCAAGGAUGUCUUCU